GGAAUCUUCGGCAAUGGGGGCAACCCUGACCGAGCAACGCCGCGUGAGUGAAGAAGGUUUUCGGAUCGUAAAGCUCUGUUGUAAGAGAAGAACGUGUGUGAGAGUGGAAAGUUCACACAGUGACGGUAACUUACCAGAAAGUCACGGCUAACUACGUGCCAG
rnacentral:rRNA from 1 species